CUCUCGGGUCACUAUGGUGGUGGGUUCUUAACCGCAGGCGGGAGAGGCACAGGCCCCGCUCCCUAGCAGGGCAAGAUCAGGAUCCGGGGGUGCGGGUGAAUCUGCGAGGAACAGCACAUUCACAGCCGAAACCCCAGGGAUCCCGAUCCAGGGGGGUUGAGUCCCGCUCACGCUCCUCCUGAUUGGAAAUCACUGUGCCCGAGGCUGCGGACUCCCCUCCGCCCAUGCUGCUUCCCUGCAGGCCGUCCUCGGGCACCGACGCCUUCCUGUCGGGACUGCUCCACUGCGAACCCCAUGUACCCAAAACCAAGCCGCGGACUCGCCCCGCCUCCAAGACUCCAGGGCAAAGCCUGAUAUUCUUCAAGCAGAUGGAGAGGGUGUCGCCUGAAAGAGAAUUCUUCCACUCCGACACCUUCUGGCUCGACCCCGCGCCUAGAGUUCUGUCUGCUGAGGGAGAGUUUCUCUGAAGAGUUAAUAAAGGCAGAUGCUAAAUACUAUACUUCUGAGGCUGGGACAGACCUGAAAUGUUUUUGUUUUUUGUUUUUUUUUUAAGUAAAUCGGUUAACUUUUGCCCAUAUUCUUUCAAGAUGGAACUUCUCUAGAACUUCUGAAAUGAAAACCACAUUAAUAAA